GAUGAACGCUGGCGGAGUGCCUAAUACAUGCAAGUCGAGCGAACAGACGAGGAGCUUGCUCCUCUGACGUUAGCGGCGGACGGGUGAGUAACACGUGGAUAACCUACCUAUAAGACUGGGAUAACUUCGGGAAACCGGAGCUAAUACCGGAUAAUAUAUUGAACCGCAUGGUUCAAUAGUGAAAGACGGUUUUGCUGUCACUUAUAGAUGGAUCCGCGCCGCAUUAGCUAGUUGGUAAGGUAACGGCUUACCAAGGCAACGAUGCGUAGCCGACCUGAGAGGGUGAUCGGCCACACUGGAACUGAGACACGGUCCAGACUCCUACGGGAGGCAGCAGUAGGGAAUCUUCCGCAAUGGGCGAAAGCCUGACGGAGCAACGCCGCGUGAGUGAUGAAGGUCUUCGGAUCGUAAAACUCUGUUAUUAGGGAAGAACAAAUGUGUAAGUAACUAUGCACGUCUUGACGGUACCUAAUCAGAAAGCCACGGCUAACUACGUG
rnacentral:rRNA from 1 species